CACGUAGGGUGCGAGCGUUUGUCCGGAAUUAUUGGGCGUAAAGAGCUCGUAGGCGGUGUGUCGCGUCGGCCGUGAAAACCUGCAGCUUAACUGUGGGCUUGCGGUCGAUACGGGCAUCACUGGAGUUCGGCAGGGGAGACUGGAAUUCCUGGUGUAGCGGUGAAAUGCGCAGAUAUCAGGAGGAACACCGGUGGCGAAGGCGGGUCUCUGGGCCGAUGACUGACGCUGAGGAGCGAAAGCGUGGGGAGCGAACAGG
rnacentral:rRNA from 1 species